GGCUUGAUGGUCUAGUGGUAUGAUUCCUGCUUUGGGAAACUGAAAAAUGCAGGAGGUCGUAAGUCACAACUUCAAAUAUCAUGAGUUAUCAAUCAUAUACUAACAAUCUCAAUAGCCGGGUUCAAUCCCCGGUCAAGCCC
rnacentral:tRNA from 1 species